CAAAAAAUCUAGGAGCAAUCUCCACUCCUCAAACUUUGCAAUAGAUCCAAGUAUCCGAAGCAUUCAGGACUGAUAUACCCAUGCCGAAACAGGAAAUCAAUAAUGACAAGGGAGCAGUUUGGCUUGAAAAAAUGUGUCCUCCGAAUAAUAUUUGCAACAUUUUUCACGGGGAUCAACUUGAAACUCUCCACUUCUCCAUCUUGAUUAUUAGGUAGAAAACUAUCAGGAAGUUUCAAAUCAUAACAAAAUAGAACAUCUCUCUUGUAUCUAUAACCUUCAAUGUCCGCAUAAGAAACAGCACCAAUUGGUACAGCUUUGUGUGAAAUGGAUUGAGGUAUUCCUGCCUCCUCUUCACAUUCCUUCAUAACAUUCUC
rnacentral:misc_RNA from 1 species